rnacentral:lncRNA from 10 species
AAAAAGACAAAUUGAAUAGACCCCAAGGUGCCUAAUGGCCCACUGGGCCACUGAGGCCAGUCCCAAUAAAACUUUACUUACGGACACUGACGUGAUUUUCAUGUACACAGAAGGCUAUUCAGGCUUGAAAUUAGGUGGGGCUGUGAGGCAGGUGGUAUGUGUCAUUUCUGAACCAAAGCACAGAAGAAUGGCUCUGAGCUGUCCCUACGCUUUCUUCCCCUGCUGCAGCAAUGAGGAGG